GGGUAGCUGGCUGGGAUGGAGGUGGGGCAGUUUCAAUCUUCAUUGCACACCCACUGGGCAUUACCACAGGGAGCAAUGAUCUGGAGACAUGGCAAUCCAAACACCUGGAGAUAGGACAAGAGAAGGAAGCUCUUGACACAGAGGAAAGCAUGGAAAGGACUUCUCCACAGACAGCCAUAUUUAUUUAGCACAGCCGUCUCCCCUUCCACUAAGCAGGCUGAGCCUAAAGGGGAGGGGUUGAGCCAGCAGAGUAUGCCCAAGGGUACAGAGAGCCUAUGGGAGUCGACGAGAUCUCUGCUCUCACAAGGACAGCAGCAUCCUGAGGAGAAGGAUGAGUGACACUGCCCUCCCUGACUCUGCCUGGGGCCCCACCCUGCUUUGCUGUGUCACUGUCUUUCUCCUGGGGACAGGUUCAGCAAAUCCCGGGGUCAUCCAGUCUCCAAGACACCUAAUCAAAGCAAGGGGAGGAAGGUCCACUCUGAAAUGCAUUCCCAUGUCUGGACAUGCCAGUGUGGCCUGUUACCAGCAGACUCUGGGGCAAGAACUGAAGUUCCUCAUUCAGCAUUAUGAAAAAAUGGAGAGAGAGAAAGGAAACAUCCCCAGCCGGUUCUCAGUGCAGCAGUUCAGUGACUAUCACUCUGAGAUGAACAUGAGCGCCUUGCAGCUGGAGGAUUCUGCUGUGUAUUUCUGUGCUAGCUCAUCACAGCCUUACAGAGUGACUGGCUUUCUGUCCCCAAUCUUCCUGCUCCCACUGCUGAUGCAGUCUCACACAGCCUUAGCCAAGGCCCAGGAAUUCUUGUAG